rnacentral:rRNA from 1 species
GACGGGAGCUUGCUCCCUUAGGUCAGCGGCGGACGGGUGAGUAACACGUGGGUAACCUGCCUGUAAGACUGGGAUAACUCCGGGAAACCGGGGCUAAUACCGGAUGCUUGAUUGAACCGCAUGGUUCAAUCAUAAAAGGUGGCUUUUAGCUACCACUUACAGAUGGACCCGCGGCGCAUUAGCUAGUUGGUGAGGUAACGGCUCACCAGGGCGACGAUGCGUAGCCGACCUGAGAGGGUGAUCGGCCACACUGGGACUGAGACACGGCCCAGACUCCUACGGGAGGCAGCAGUAGGGAAUCUUCCGCAAUGGACGAAAGUCUGACGGAGCAACGCCGCGUGAGUGAUGAAGGUUUUCGGAUCGUAAAACUCUGUUGUUAGGGAAGAACAAGUACCGUUCGAAUAGGGCGGCACCUUGACGGUACCUAACCAGAAAGCCACGGCUAACUACGUGCCAGCAGCCGCGGUAAUACGUAGGUGGCAAGCGUUGUCCGGAAUUAUUGGGCGUAAAGCGCGCGCAGGCGGUUUCUUAAGUCUGAUGUGAAAGCCCCCGGCUCAACCGGGGAGGGUCAUUGGAAACUGGGGAACUUGAGUGCAGAAGAGGAGAGUGGAAUUCCACGUGUAGCGGUGAAAUGCGUAGAGAUGUGGAGGAACACCAGUGGCGAAGGCGACUCUCUGGUCUGUAACUGACGCUGAGGCGCGAAAGCGUGGGGAG